rnacentral:lncRNA from 1 species
CUGUUAGGUACAGUCGAUAGAGCAGAACCUUCCAACGCACCCAGGCCCACCUGGGUCCCCUUGCCCGCCGAAAACUGGUCACAAAAAUUUACCUAGGAGCAUCCGUCGAAAUCGUCAAAAGCUGAUUUUUCGACUAAAUGUGUUACAGAGAGAAAUCGCCAUUACUUGCGGAAAGCUAUUAUAGGGGCUGGGGCACUCUUUGGUUAGUGUUCCCCGAAAAAUUCUUUGUAAGAAACCCGAUUUAGAAGAAAAGGCGAAGCGGAACAGGACGAAAUGGGACGGGAUAAGAACGGACGGGUCGGGAUAUGUACCUCCUUUGAAGGUUCGGUUGUGGCCCUAAACCGAGACCUUCCUGGAAAAUCGGCUAAUGCAACCAACCGUCUGUUUCGCACGUACGAAUUAUACCUGCUUGAUGUUCUCGACAACUGUUCUGAGCACCAGAGAAGACACUCGGAAGCCAUAUUGAUUCCAACCUUUCUGUGCGCGUGUGUGUGCGAAAAUGAUUCGAAUUUUCCCGCCAUUUAGAUGCCUUCAGACCAUGGCGUGUCAGUAUAAAAACCGUCAGAGGUUCUCCUUACAACUGUCUCCCCUGGUUAUAUCCUGAGCCAUUAGAUGCUGCCGGAUCGGCCAAUUUCAAACGGUAAUAAUUCGAAAGCAAUAGAUUUCCUAUUAGAAGUAAAAACCGUUUCGGUCGUAGAGUUUUAGGAGAAUAUGAGGCGAUAAUUCCAGGUCACUCUGUAUGCAGAGAGCUAGAAGGGAGGGAGAGAGAGAGAAAAAAUGAAGAACAGAGCAGGAUCCUGGAUGGUGGUAUUAGUAUAUACCUCUAUAUAUAUUGGACAGCUGUAUCUAUAUGUCACAUACAAAGGUCCAUAGAAGCGGCUAGAUCACCGUGUGUGCAACAUGCGAAGAUUCCUAGGAAAUUUAGAAUGUUUCACGUGUCAUUUCUUCGCGUAUUGACAAUUUGGUACAUAUUACAAGUUCUAGUCCGUUCGUACAUCCGCCUUAUCAUAUGCAGCAGGAUAAAAUAUCACUAGAAUUCAGUAUUACUGUUUAUCGUAGAACAAAAAUAUGAAUUGUUAUUAUAAACAAUUAUAUUUGAAGUAAUGUAUUCACGGG